GCAGGCAUCAAUUAUAUCGAUAACAAGAAAAACUUGAGUUAAGGGGCCGAAAAGGUUCAACAGAGUCGAGAUACUCAUUCCUGGUUGUAUGUGCAGUCUUGCUGCGGCUGGAUAGAAACUGAAGAAGAAGAAGUCUUCUGGCGUGGUUGCGGGGAAGUUUCAUGCAGAUUGAUGGUGUUUCCAGAAGGUGGCAAACAUCUCUUGGAAAAGAAUGUAGCGGCUGGAUAGAAA
rnacentral:misc_RNA from 1 species